CAGCAGCCGCCACGGGAAUACAGAGGGUGCGAGCGUUAAUCGGAUUUACUGGGCGUAAAGCGUGCGUAGGCGGCUUUUUAAGUCGGAUGUGAAAUCCCUGAGCUUAACUUAGGAAUUGCAUUCGAUACUGGGAAGCUAGAGUAUGGGAGAGGAUGGUAGAAUUCCAGGUGUAGCGGUGAAAUGCGUAGAGAUCUGGAGGAAUACCGAUGGCGAAGGCAGCCAUCUGGCCUAAUACUGACGCUGAGGUACGAAAGCAUGGGGAGCAAACAGGAUUAGAUACCCGCGUAGUCCCUGUCUCUUAUAC
rnacentral:rRNA from 1 species